AGUGAACGCUGGCGGUAGGCCUAACACAUGCAAGUCGAACGGCAGCACAGUAAGAGCUUGCUCUUACGGGUGGCGAGUGGCAGACGGGUGAGGAAUACAUCGGAAUCUACUUUUUCGUGGGGGAUAACGUAGGGAAACUUACGCUAAUACCGCAUACGACCUACGGGUGAAAGCAGGGGAUCUUCGGACCUUGCGCGAUUGAAUGAGCCGAUGUCGGAUUAGCUAGUUGGCGGGGUAAAGGCCCACCAAGGCGACGAUCCGUAGCUGGUCUGAGAGGAUGAUCAGCCACACUGGAACUGAGACACGGUCCAGACUCCUACGGGAGGCAGCAGUGGGGAAUAUUGGACAAUGGGCGCAAGCCUGAUCCAGCCAUACCGCGUGGGUGAAGAAGGCCUUCGGGUUGUAGAGCCCUUUUGUUGGGAAAGAAAAGCAGCAGGUUAAUACCCCGCUGUUCUGACGGUACCCAAAGAAUAAGCACCGGCUAACUUCGUG
rnacentral:rRNA from 1 species